ACAUGUUAAAACCACAGUGACAACAGAUUGUACCUAAACCACAGAUAUUAUGACUUUGACAUUUAGUUUUAAACUUGACAUAAAUUUUUCAUAUUGAACUAUCAACAAUUAUCAACGUUAUCCACUACUUGUUUUUCUGUGUUAAAGAACGCAAAAUGUUUUUCAAAGUAUUCAUGUUGAUAUUUUCUGCCUUAGCAAUUAGCAAUGUUGAAGCAGCGCACAGCUAUGACUUUGGAGACUUCCUAGCCACAGUUUUAGGAAUUGGGAUAUCUGUUAUUGGUAUUCUUGCGUGUUUAGGUAAUUACGCCAGACAGAAAGCAAGAAACGAGUUUAUUUAAAUUAUAUUCAACGUAUAAUCGCAGGAUCAGAAUAUAUCGUAUCGAGGUAAUCGUAAAUAUGUUUCUGUCUAAUGAACAAGAACAUACAACAAAACAAAUGUAAUUAUUAUUGCACAUUUAUAUUUCUUAUCUGUUAUAUCUGAGUUUGGCUGAAAUAAUAUUAUUAAAAUCUUUUUUUUAUCCUUUGACAUAAAAUGUAAAAAAAUAUCUAUGAUAUAAAAAAACAAUAUUGUGAUUUUUGAUUAUUAUAUUAUACAUGUGAAAUAUGGUGUUGCUGUAUGGUACUUUAGUGAGGCAAUAAAUAUGUAUAUAUUAAA